AUAUCAAUAAGCGGAGGAAAAGAAACCAACAGGGAUUGCCUUAGUAACGGCGAGUGAAGCGGCAAAAGCUCAAAUUUGAAAUCUGGCACCUUCGGUGUCCGAGUUGUAAUUUGAAGAAGGUAACUUUGGAGUCAGCUCUUGUCUAUGUUCCUUGGAACAGGACGUCACAGAGGGUGAGAAUCCCGUGCGAUGAGAUGUCUGAUUCUAUGUAAAGUGCUUUCGAAGAGUCGAGUUGUUUGGGAAUGCAGCUCUAAGUGGGUGGUAAAUUCCAUCUAAAGCUAAAUAUUGGCGAGAGACCGAUAGCGAACAAGUACAGUGAUGGAAAGAUGAAAAGAACUUUGAAAAGAGAGUGAAAAAGUACGUGAAAUUGUUGAAAGGGAAGGGUUUGAGAUCAGACUUGGUAUUUUGUAUGUCUUGCUUUCGGGUGGGGCCUCUACAGUUUACUGGGCCAGCAUCGGUUUGGACGGUAGGAUAAUGACAUUGGAAUGUGGCACCACUUCGGUGGUGUGUUAUAGACUUUGUUGAUACUGCCUGUCUAGACCGAGGACUGCGUCUUU
rnacentral:rRNA from 1 species